rnacentral:rRNA from 1 species
GACGAACGCUGGCGGCGUGCUUAACACAUGCAAGUCGAACGGAAAGGCCCUGCUUUUGUGGGGUGCUCGAGUGGCGAACGGGUGAGUAACACGUGAGUAACCUGCCCUUGACUUUGGGAUAACAUCAGGAAACUGGGGCUAAUACCGGAUAGGAGCUCCUGCUGCAUGGUGGGGGUUGGAAAGUUUCGGCGGGUGGGGAUGGACUCGCGGCUUAUCAGCUUGUUGGUGGGGUAGUGGCUUACCAAGGCUUUGACGGGUAGCCGGCCUGAGAGGGUGACCGGCCACAAUGGGACUGAGAUACGGCCCAGACUCCUACGGGAGGCAGAAGUGGGGAAUAUUGCACAAUGGGCGGAAGCCUGAUGCAGCAACGCCGCGUGCGGGAGGACGGCCUUCUGGUUGUAAACCGCUUUCGCCUGUGACGAAGCGUGAGUGACGGUAAUGGGUAAAGAAGCACCGGCUAACUACGUG